rnacentral:rRNA from 1 species
CAAUAGCGUAUAUUUAAGUUGUUGCAGUUAAAAGCUCGUAGUUGGAUUUCGGGCGGGGUAGGCCGGUCCGCCGUUACGGUGUGCACUGGCCGACCCCGUCUUCUUGCCGGGGACGCGGUUCUGGCCUUGAUUGGCUGGGGCGCGGAGUCGGCGACGUUACUUUGAAAAAUUAGAGUGUUCAAAGCAAGCUCACGCUCUGAAUACAUUAGCAUGGAAUAACACGAUAGGACUCCGGUCCUAUUUUGUUGGUCUUCGGGAUCGGAGUAAUGAUUAAGAGGGACAGUUGGGGGCAUUCGUAUUUCAUUGUCAGAGGUGAAAUUCUUGGAUUUAUGAAAGACGAACUUCUGCGAAAGCAUUUGCCAAGGAUGUUUUCAUUAAUCAAGAACGAAAGUUGGGGGCUCGAAGACGAUUAGAUACCAU